CUACGGUGGGCAGCAGUGGGGAAUAUUGGACAAUGGGCGAAAGCCUGAUCCAGCCAUGCCGCGUGUGUGAAGAAGGCCUUCGGGUUGUAAAGCACUUUCAGUGGGGAAGAAAGCCUUGGGGCUAAUACCCUCGAGGAAGGACAUCACCCACAGAAGAAGCACCGGCUAACUCCGUGCCAGCAGCCGCGGUAAUACGGAGGGUGCGAGCGUUAAUCGGAAUUACUGGGCGUAAAGCGCGCGUAGGCGGUCUGAUAAGCCGGUUGUGAAAGCCCCGGGCUCAACCUAGGAACGGCAUCCGGAACUGUCAGGCUAGAGUGCAGGAGAGGAAGGUAGAAUUCCCGGUGUAGCGGUGAAAUGCGUAGAGAUCGGGAGGAAUACCAGUGGCGAAGGCGGCCUUCUGGACUGACACUGACGCUGAGGUGCGAAAGCGUGGGUAGCAAACAGGAUUAGAUACCCCAGUAGUC
rnacentral:rRNA from 1 species